rnacentral:rRNA from 1 species
UACGAACCACACGAACGUUAUUCGGAAUUACUGGGCUUAAAGGGUGCGUAGGCUGUGCAGAAAGUUAGGUGUGAAAUCCCCCGGCUCAACCGGGGAAUUGCGCUUAAAACUACUGUGCUAGAGGAAGACAGAGGUGAGCGGAACUUCGGGUGGAGCGGUGAAAUGCGUUGAUAUCCGAAGGAACACCGGUGGCGAAAGCGGCUCACUGGGUGUUUUCUGACGCUGAGGAACGAAAGCCAGGGGAGCGAACGGG